rnacentral:misc_RNA from 1 species
GAUGAAGAACGCAGCGAAAUGCGAAAAGUAAUGUGAAUUGCAGAAUUCAGUGAAUCAUCGAAUCUUUGAACGCACAUUGCGCCCGCCAGUAUUCUGGCGGGCAUGCCUGUCCGAGCGUCAUUUCAACCCUCGAACCCCUCCGGGGGGUCGGCGUUGGGGAUCGGCCCCUCACCGGGCCGCCCCCGAAAUCCAGUGGCGGUCUCGCCGCAGCCUCUCCUGCGCAGUAGUUUGCACACUCGCACCGGGAGCGCGGCGCGGCCACAGCCGUAAAACACCCCAAACUCUGAAAUGUUGACCUCGGAUCAGGUAGGAAUACCCGCUGAACUUAAGCAUAUCAAUAAGCGGAGGA